rnacentral:lncRNA from 1 species
AUUCUAGCUUCUAUAUUGAGAAUAGACUAUAGGGAGGGUAGUAAAAGUUGAAGCAGGGACAAGUCAGAAGGCUUUGUUUUAAGUGAUAAUGGCUUAUUGGAGGAACAAAAACAUCUAUACAUCAAACAAUCAGAGAUUUAAACAAGAACAAUAAAAUGACUACACAGAAAUUAAUAUAGAGUUUAAGUACUAUGGUGAACGGGCAGUGGAGGGACUGCAUGAAAAUGGAAUUACUAUAGAGGAAGUUAAAGUUUAAGCUAGGUCUUAAAAGAUGAAAAGGUGAGAUCUAUCAAAUGAGAAUAAGAAGCCAACCAAGCACUACCAACUCUACAGGAUUCAUGUGAAACUCAGCCAAAAGCUUCAACUGAAGAGAAUUACAUAAAACAGGAUGUAGCCUACAGAGGCUACAAAGAGCUUUGAAACAGGAGGCCUGAGGAUAACUUAUGCAUUUAGGCUCACUGCAAAUGCAAGUAUAUGAUCAACAGAUCCCUGGAGCUUGAGCCUUGGAAAAGCCAUGCAUUACAGGGAGGGGGCCACCCCAUGACAGCUGUAAGCUGACUAUUCCAGAGAACACUGAGAUGGCAGGAAUAUUUUCCAGUUGAAAUCAACCCAAUUCCCUCUGCAUUUGAGUCUCCGGAACAUUCAUGAUGAAAAUCUAGACAGCAUGACAUGGUAUGAACUCUGAAAGUAAGGCUAAUGCUACUCUGGUUGGUGUUGCCUUUGGCUCAUACUGAAGACCCAGUCAGAGUCCUGGAAAG